CUACGGGAGGCAGCAGUGGGGAAUAUUGGACAAUGGGCGCAAGCCUGAUCCAGCAAUGCCGCGUGGGUGAAGAAGGCCUGCGGGUUGUAAAGCCCUUUUAGUGGGGAAGAACAGCGGAGUGUUAAUAGCGCUCUGAAAUGACGGUACCCACAGAAAAAGCACCGGCUAACUCCGUGCCAGCAGCCGCGGUAAUACGGAGGAUGCGAGCGUUAAUCGGAAUUACUGGGCGUAAAGCGUGCGUAGGCGGUUCGGUCAGUCAGCCGUGAAAGCCCCGGGCUCAACCUGGGAACGGCGGUUGAGACGGCCGGACUAGAGUGGGCUAGAGGAUCGUGGAAUUCCCGGUGUAGCGGUGAAAUGCGUAGAGAUCGGGAGGAACACCGAUGGCGAAGGCAGCGGUCUGGGGCCACACUGACGCUGAGGCACGAAAGCGUGGGGAGCAAACAGGAUUAGAAACCCGGGUAGUCC
rnacentral:rRNA from 1 species